UUACGGCCAUAUCACGGUGAAACACGGGUUCCCGUACGAUCACCGAAGUUAAGCAAAAUCGAGCUUGGUCAGUAGCUAGAAGAGUGAUCGCUUAGGGAUAACACGUUCUGUAA